rnacentral:tRNA from 1 species
UCCCUGAUAGCUCAGUUGGUAAAGAAUCUGCCUGCAAUGCGGGAGACUUGGGUUCAAUCCCUGGUUUGGGAA